UUCAACUCGCUUUUCAAAGUUGAUUUCCCGUCAUUAGGCAUGACUUCCAACGGAGCAAGUUAUCUUCAAUGCUGAUUGGCGAGUUUCGUCAGUUUCUCUGCGAUUAACGCACUGGAAAACAAAGCUACCAUGCAUUGUAAACUACCAGCAUUUCAUGCACUGCCUGGAGUCGCAAAUUAAAUGUCAGUAUUUGACGACUUUGCCGCAAUGUCAGCACCGGUAAAGCCUGCUGUUGAUGUAUGUUGCUGAGUUUGAGCUGAACCAGGCCCAACCAGCUAAAACCUGGUUGACCUUUCCGCUGGAAACCGAUACGGCUGAAAAAGGCGCCGAUGGGGGAAUCGA